GGGAGGCGGUAACUGUGGAGGUGCGCGCGUGUGGGGCGGGGCUUGCGCAGGACUCGCGCCACACUUAGUUCACAGUGAGGCAGUCGGAGGCGACCCCGUCUUUCACUCCUGUCCUGGGCUCCCAUCACAAAGGAGGUGACACUUCUCAGAGCCCUGUAGCCGCCUCCUGGAGCAUGGACAGGGGGCCCGCCGAGCGCCCAGUUCCCCUCGGCGAAGGCCGGGGUUUCCUCUGCGAUUUGUGCCCAGGGCUUCACCCCCACUUUGUCUUCGAGGCCUCCCUCGCUUCGCCCGCUUGAGACGUGACACAGACGGGUCCCAGGACCACCUUCAGAGCCUUGGUUCUUUCCGAGACUGAAACGUUUCCUCUGAAACGCCCUCCCCCACUCUGUCGGACGGGAAAGAUUAGCUCGCCUUAUUGGGGGCUGGGCGGGGACUGGGAGGCAGCGACACCAGACGGAUCCCUCCGAGUUGCGUUGUUGGUUCAGAGGCCCUCAGUGGGUUCAGUUGAACUGUCUAUGUGACAAUUUUUCACUUUAGGGUGUUUCAAAUUUAGAUUUGGGCAGGAAGCUGGUUGGUGCACGAUCCUGAGUGGCUUUAAAUGAGCUAGCAGAGGCAUUUGACCUUUCUGGAUGAUAGAUAAAUACUGUCCUUUUACUUUGUAUAACCUGCUCAACCCAUAAAAAGUUUGGGAUUACUUGAUUAACAGGAUUUCGGAAACCGUCCAACCCUUGGAAUCCCUACCUGUGACACAGGUUUCUGCUGGGAGGGGGGAAAGGGAGGCCCCAGUAGGUUGCAGACACAGCAGAGGACUAGCGUAAUAAUUCAGCCACUAAUUGUGAAGUAAAGGGAAUGUGGCUUGGUCAAGAGAUACUUGACUAACCAGUAUUUCACUUGCUGAUGGACUCGUUCCCCAGGAGGAAAUAAUGGCAGUGAAGCCUUGAGCAAGAUGCAUUGCUUACUUUGGUUUUCUCUCCCACUGUGUGGCUGCGGAUCUGAUGUAUCUAUCUAUCUCCUGUUCUCAAGGUCUUCAUCCCCACUUUGUCUUCAAGAUCGUCCUUGCCCUUGGCCAGCCCAGGGCAUGUCACAAAUGUGCCCCAUGGCCAUCUGAGUCCUGAUGUUUUCCCCAGACCCUUGGGAACUGGCAGCUACUUCUCUCUUCUGAUGCAAACAGGAUGUGGAGCCCUGGUUGCUCCAGCUUGUUCCUGGGCUGUCUUCAAGGCAUUUCAGGUGGGGUGGGGGUUCCUUGUCUGUUUCCUUUGGAAAUGAAAGUAGUCAGAGUUGGACCUUCAUUUAACCAGAUCGGAAUCCCUUAACAGCUGUCUGACAAUGGAGCAAAAGUAUGAAGGCCACCGUAAGAAGGUAUAUUAAGAUUAACAAAAAAAGCAGGCAAUUCCAUAGAUUAUCACAGAUUCCACUUACUUGUGGGAAGAUUGGGUCAGAGUGGAAGAGAACCCAGCAGUUCUGUGUAAAGUAUUUACUAAAGACUCCCAUUACUGUGCCUUCUUAAUAUUAUAACUCAGGUACUAACUAUUGACAAGACCAAGGGACAAAGAAUGCAGUGGUUCCAGGGCCGUACAUCCUGGUGGUCCAUACUAUCAUUAUUCAUCUAAUGGUCAUCCUGGUUAUUACUAACAAAAGUGUUUAUGGCUAGAUUUUAAGGAUCACAGGUACUCAUUAACUAGAAGGAUUUGAUACGCUUACUAAAGGCAGUGAGUUUGGUCAAAGGUCACAGCAUGGAAGGACAUAAAGAGGGAAAUGGUUUUUUGUUCACAUCUACGCCUAUGUAAUGGCUGCGUGUGAAGUAUCAAGUAUGUCAAGGGCACACCCAAACUCAGAGAAAACAGAGUAUCCUGUUAAGAGUUGUAUCUGCUUUAGCAACUUCUUCCAGAGCAACAAUGGAAAAAGAUAGGUAGAGCUCUUUUGAGACUGCAAACCUUUAGGGGAAUUCUGUGCCUCAUUCUUUCCAGGCUAGUCCUGCUCUAUCUGUAGGUUUCCCCCCUGAUAAGAUUAAAUUCUAGAUGCCUUUGUUAUUGGAUGCUUUGAUGGUCCCUUACAUUCCAUGUUAAGGACAUUAAUAACAUCCACAUUUUGCCCAGUUGUCAAGCAAGUGACCAUUUGUCGCUAAGACGCUGUGGAAGCAACCAGUAGUGAUCACUCCCUGCUCCCCAGCGUUGCUGACAACAAAAUCUGUCGUGAUCACUCCUGGGGAAGACACCUUGGCAUCUGUGUUUGGAAAAGGCCACUGGUAAAUUGAUUUCUCGUUCAUUUUCAGCUGAGUCUGUUAGUUCCAGCCAUUUUGUUUUUUUCCAGGAAAUGAUUCUAUCUGCAGUUUUGAUUUCCCUUACCACAUCUAUCUUCAGGAAGUCGAUGUAAGAAAUGUCCAGAUCUGCAGAAAUUUUCAUGAGUUUGUUUGAGACAAAGUGACAACUGCCAGGAAGCAAAAUUUCUAUGGACUGAGAAAAUGUUCUAGAAAAUUGCAGUUUUGCAGCUUAUUUUAUACAUGAGAAUCAAAGUAGGAAGCAUAGGGAGAGUUACAUGAAACCCACUGUCAGUUGAUUAAGGGAGCAGGAGAAAGCGAAUCGGGGAAACCUCUGAGACUGGAUAAAGAGUAAACCGGAGAGACACAUACUUCUUUUACAUUGGUGGGUACAGGAUAGUUAAUGACUAACAUUACUAAAACUUAGAGAUGGUAUUCGGGGAACAAGAUAACAAUGAGGGGUUCUGUGGUCUCAUGCUGUGGUGCAGAAGUGGUGCCCCAACAGGUCUGGAAAAGAUUACUCUGAUUUGUCAAAGCUGUGUUAUCUUAGAUGCAAAAGGACGGUAGACAGGCUCCCUUAAGGUAAAGGUUCAUCUUUGUCAAGGAAGCUACAGGCCUAGGACAUGACUACCCACCAUGACUGUCUUUUUUGUUCGGAAUUUUUAUGUUCUGAUUAUCCUGUGUGGUUAAUUUCAGUCUCUGAGUCUGUAAGGCUGCCAUGCUGGCCUCCCCUGAGUUUGUCAGGCUUAGUAAGGGGCCCCUUUUUCGUCCGUAAGUCCCAUGCGACACUGACCAUCAAAGACAUUUAUUUAAUACCUGAUUUUUGUGCUGGAGAAAAAGUAGAAAUGUAUUCUCCUGUUCUGCUUGAUAACUGUAUUCAUAAUUUGUCACUCAUAACAGGAGAGAUUUAACAGCUAGAAUUUAGAGAUAUUUGCGGGGUGCGGGGUCUGUGUUUAUGUAAUUUUAGGCAUCCCGAGCAGGAGGAGACAUGGAAGUGAGUGCUCCCUUUUGUUUCUCCUGAAAUUUAAAUGAAACUGACUUGGGAAACCCAAACCUUGCUUCCGCAACAGGGAGGAAACAAGACAGAUGUGCCUUUCCUUUGGGCUGUGGUGUUUAGAACAGAACUAGAUCCGUCCCCUUGCUCUGGACGGUCCUGUCUGCUGUGGGGACUCCCAGCUGAUGUGUUGUUACUUGAGCUCCCUGUUUCUGAUUGCUGUCCCACCAGCAAGACCCUGGGACUUUGUUCUCAGCUAACCACUCUCUGGCUACACCUGUAACAGUACAAUCUAUCCACUUAUCAAACAUUGGAACUGAGCCAGCUGUCGAAUGACCUGGUCUGAUAGAAGUAGGUAAUAGUGGGGUCUUCCUGUCAGUGAGGUCUUCUGCCAUCUGUAACUAGCAAAUAUUUGGAGAACUGUUACCAGGUGAAGGCUUGAAUUCCAGGAAAGGGGUUUAUUGUUUUUUAUCUUUAUACGUCUUUAAAGGACCUUAGGAUGUUGUUGUUAUUUCCAGUGGCACCUGUUGUGUGUAAGAUGGGUCCUUAUGCCAAGGUUGGGCAGCAGGAGCAUUAGUGGUGUGGACAAAAAAGUGGUUCCACAGAAAGUAACUUCACAGGAUAUUCUAAUCAUAAAUCCUAACUGAGCAGGUCAUGGGGGGUAGUCACACCUCAGACGUGAAACUUCUUCAGUAAAAGGCCAUCUCUGCCUUAAGCAAGCCCUGUCCAUUGUUUCUGCGCAUCUAGGUUGGCACGCCUUUGAAAUAAGUGUGACCACCCUCAAGAUAGCACAUAAUAUUGUUAACUGUCCUGUAAUCCAAUCCCCACUUUGCUUUCUUCCACCUACAUGUAAUGUUCCUUCCGUUCCUUCCUUAACCUCAAAUGCAUGAAAGAAACUGCAAAACUGUCAGUUCUGCAGAGCAUUUAAGAUCUCGCUUCCUGGCACCUAUUGUCAGUUUAG